rnacentral:rRNA from 1 species
UUCCGGUUGAUCCUGCCAGAGGCGACCGCUUUUGGAGUUCGAUUAAGCCAUGCGAGUAGAAUGAAUUAGAUCAUUGCAAACUGCUCAGUAACACGUGGAUAACCUGCCCUAUGCUCUGGGAUAACCUCGGGAAACUGAGAAGAAUACCGGAUAGACCACAACGCCUGGAACGGUGUGUGGUUGAAAGGUCACGGCAUAGGAUGGGUCUGCGGCGUAUCAGGUCGUAGGGGGUGUAACGGACCUCCUAGCCAUCGACGCGUACGGGUUGUGGGAGCAAUAGCCCGGAGAUGGAUUCUGAGACACGAAUCCAGACCCUACGGGGUGCAGCAGGCGCGAAAACUUCACACUGCAGGAAACUGUGAUGAGGGAACUCCAAGUGACUGCACAUUGUGUAGCCUUUUCUUUACUAUUAAUCGGUAUUGGAAUAAGGGCUGGGAAAGACCGGUGCCAGCCGCCGCGGUAAUACCGGCAGCUCAAGUGGUCGUCGCUUUUAUUGGGCCUAAAACGUCCGUAGCCUGUUUGGUAAAUCUGUGGGUAAAUCAACCAGCUUAACUGGUUGAAUUCUGCAGAGACUGCCAGACUAGGGACCGGGAGAGGUGUGGGGUACUCUAGGGGUAGGGGUAAAAUCCUGUCAUCCUUAGAGGACCACCAGUUGCGAAGGCGCCACACUGGAACGGAUCCGACGGUCAGGGACGAAGCCUAGGGGCACGAACCGGAUUAGAUACCCGGGUAGUCCUAGGUGUAACGCUGUGAACUUGGUGUC